UGAAGUUUACUUUGCAUAAAACAGAUAUUCCACAAGCAACGAAUGUUUUACAAAAAGAGCCUGGCAUAUUAUAUUAAAUCGCAUCUCCGAACACUGAUUAAUUACAUCAUACUAAAUCUUUAUAAGCAGACGUAUGACGUGACGUAGUUGCUGGUAAUAAACUCCUUCGUACACCAAACAAAUUACAAAAUGUCCUGGGUUCUCCUGCGAGCACAUACGCACAAGGCACAAUAUUUAACGCAGGUAUUCAAUACUGAUUGUUAAGCAUAACACGAGACCAAACUCGCAGCUACGGGAGCAAUAUCCACUUCAAUUGCAUCUGGAGUUUGUGCAACCAUAACACCACCAAGGUACACCGUCUGCGGUCUUCGAAUCAUCGACGAGUUCUCGAGCUUGUGCAGCCAAGGCAGCAAAGGCGAUAAAGUUUCCGAUUCCCAUAACAGCCAAACCAUAAACUAUGUUAUCAGAAUCAUACAUGAAGAGUAGCGCAGAGCAAUAAAUAUCGGUGAUCAACAGAAAAGAAGCUAGAGCUAAUAAAGCGGCAUAUCUGAAAGCUAUCCAAUUCUUACUCCAUAUCGCAACAUGCCUACUAAAAACACGAUCAGAAUUCUGCAUCUGUGAAUCUUUUAGAAUUGGAGUAAACUUUCGACAAAAUAAGACGAAGUGAGGUAUUUAUUCACCUGUAAAUACUAGAUUCUUGCCUUGGACACGUUUACGUUUCACUGCAGCCACGCAAGCGAACUUGUAGGUCACGUCAAAUGGUUUGCUUCUCCUGUUUUGUAACAAGUGUUUCAUAAAUAGGUUCCUUUUACGCGUAUAGUAUGAUAUGAACAAGCCUCAUCACACUUUGCAAUAAAAGAAGGUUUUAUUCAAAUUGACAACGUUAUGUUAUAUUUAAUUAGGAAAAUGCUAGGUGUACAUUAUUGUGUACAAAAACAUGUACACAAUGGCAUGUGGUGAAUUUUAAUCGGAAUGACCCCCUCCAUUUACACCGACAACCAGGG
rnacentral:lncRNA from 1 species